rnacentral:rRNA from 1 species
AUUGAACGCUGGCGGCAGGCCUAACACAUGCAAGUCGAGCGGAUGACGGGAGCUUGCUCCUUGAUUCAGCGGCGGACGGGUGAGUAAUGCCUAGGAAUCUGCCUGGUAGUGGGGGACAACGUUUCGAAAGGAACGCUAAUACCGCAUACGUCCUACGGGAGAAAGCAGGGGACCUUCGGGCCUUGCGCUAUCAGAUGAGCCUAGGUCGGAUUAGCUAGUUGGUGAGGUAAUGGCUCACCAAGGCGACGAUCCGUAACUGGUCUGAGAGGAUGAUCAGUAAAAAUGGAACUGAGACACGGUCCAGACUCCUACGGGAGGCAGCAGUGGGGAAUAUUGGACAAUGGGCGAAAGCCUGAUCCAGCCAUGCCGCGUGUGUGAAGAAGGUCAUCGGAUUGUAAAGCACUUUAAGUUGGGAGGAAGGGCAGUAAGUUAAUACCUUGCUGUUUUGACGUUACCGACAGAAUAAGCACCGGCUAACUCUGUGCCAGCCGCCGCGGUAA